rnacentral:lncRNA from 1 species
CAGAUGUGAACAAUACCCAGCAGAUGAUAUGGAGUACCAAAGAAACAGAACAGAGAAACGGAGAAAGUAAAAGAACAUGAGAUCACAAAGAAGGCCUGAUUAUGCUAUUAUUACCUAUGGGGGUUAGGGAUAGCUGUACUGCAGCAGAGGCAGUUGGGGCCAAUACUACACAGUCCUUAAGCUAAAAAUGCCAGAGUAUGCCAUACAGAUCUGCUGCACCUAUUUGGGCACCAUGAGGAAGAGGCCAACAAAAUUCUAGAGAAGGCAACCCAGUGCUCUGGCAGUAUUGAGGCUCCAAACCAGCCCUGGAAGUUCUACAGUGGAACUCUAUCAUAUGUGCAUUAAACUGAAUUGAAAUCAUACGACUCAGCAAAAUCAACAUAACAACUGAUGACAACAAAAACAGCCAUAUGAACAAAAACUGAUGGGCAUUUUAAAAAUACAGAAUGGC